UACGUAGGGUGCAGGCGUUAUUCGGAAUUACUGGGCGUAAAGCGUGCGUAGGCGGUCUGCUAAGACAGGUGUGAAAUCCCCGGGCUUAACCUGGGAACUGCGCUUCUAACUGGCAGGCUUGAGUGUGGCAGAGGGGGGUGGAAUUCCACGUGUAGCAGUGAAAUGCGUAGAGAUGUGGAGGAACACCGAUGGCGAAGGCAGCCCCCUGGGCUAACACUGACGCUCAUGCGCGAAAGCGUGGGGAGCGAACAGG
rnacentral:rRNA from 1 species